rnacentral:rRNA from 1 species
CAGCCGCCACGGUAAUACGUAGGUGGCAAGCGUUGUCCGGAAUUAUUGGGCGUAAAGGGCUCGCAGGCGGUUUCUUAAGUCCGAUGUGAAAGCCCCCGGCUCAACCGGGGAGGGUCAUUGGAAACUGGGAAACUUGAGUGCAGAAGAGGAGAGUGGAAUUCCACGUGUAGCGGUGAAAUGCGUAGAGAUGUGGAGGAACACCAGUGGCGAAGGCGACUCUCUGGUCUGUAACUGACGCUGAGGAGCGAAAGCGUGGGGAGCGAACAGGAUUAGAUACCCCCGUAGUCCCUGUCUCUUAUAC